rnacentral:rRNA from 1 species
AUUGAACGCUGGCGGAAUGCUUUACACAUGCAAGUCGAACGGCAGCACGGGGCAACCUGGUGGCGAGUGGCGAACGGGUGAGUAAUACAUCGGAACGUGCCCAAUCGUGGGGGAUAACGUAGCGAAAGUUACGCUAAUACCGCAUAUUCUGUGAGCAGGAAAGCAGGGGAUCGCAAGACCUUGCGCUCUGGGAGCGGCCGAUGUCGGAUUAGCUAGUUGGUGGGGUAAAGGCCUACCAAGGCGACGAUCCGUAGCGGGUCUGAGAGGAUGAUCCGCCACACUGGGACUGAGACACGGCCCAGACUCCUACGGGAGGCAGCAGUGGGGAAUAUUGGACAAUGGGCGAAAGCCUGAUCCAGCCACGCCGCGUGAGUGAUGAAGGCC